rnacentral:lncRNA from 1 species
CCUGUGUAUUUAUUAUAUGCUCAUGAUGUGAAAUGAAGCAUUUUAAUAAUUAACUUCAUGAUUUACAGCAAUGGUGAUUGACAGAUAACUCCAAAUGCUUCUAAUUUAGCUGCACACUUAAAAAAUGGUUAAGAAGCAAACAAACAAACAAAAAAACUUAACUACCAUCCAUCUUAGCCUUUAAAUGGUAUCUAAAUCUUAGAAGUAAAAUAUUAUAGCCAGUGUUUAUAAAAAGUAAUUAUAAAAGGACUAAUGCAACCAUAACAUAAUAUAACCAAAUAGCCAUGGAUAUAUGAUAAAUCUAAACAGCAACUUAACAUCAGAACUCUUACAGUCACAAAAGUCCUGAGAUACUGAAAAGAAGGCAGAGCAGGCCAACUGUCAGGAUGGCCAUAGUGAUCCCUGCUCCUGGUGUUCACCAUUUACAACCGAGAUGGCAGGCUGAGCGAGCUUACCAUGACUGCCCGCCUUGGUCAUAGACUACUUUCCCGGGACUGAGGUGAUCACUCCCAUGGAGCUGGCAGGGCCGC